CUGUAAAGUUUCACCUUGUGUAAAAACUUAGAUGGUUUAAGGCAACGGGUUAUCACACAAAUGUCUAGUAAGGUCAACUAUUUUG